CUCCUCGUAGUGUAACGGAUAGCACGUAAGAUUCCGGUUCUAAGAUAGAGGUUCGACUCCUCUCGAGGAGGC
rnacentral:tRNA from 1 species